GUGCGUCACGGGUGGCGGGCGCGGGAAGGGGAUUUGGAUUGUUGCGCCUCUGCUCUGAAGAAAGUGCUGUCUGGCUCCAACUCCAGUUCUUGCCCCUGAGCAGCGCCUGGAACCUAACCCUUCCCACUCUGUCACCUUCUCGAUCCCGCCGGCGCUUUAGAGCCGCAGUCCAGCCUUGGAUCCUCAGAGCCUCAGCCACUAGCUGCGAUGCAUGUGAUCAAGCGAGUAGAGAUGGGGUUUCACCAUGUUGGCUAGACUGGUCUCGAACUCCUGACCUCAGGUGAUCCGCCUGCUUCGGCCUCCCAAAGUGCUAGGAAUACAGGCAUGAGCCACCAUGCCCGGCUGGCUAGAGGAUUUUAAAAGAGGAAGAGAUGGCCGCCAAGAGCGAGUUAUGUUUGACAAAAUUACAUCUCGAAUCCAGAAGCUUUGCUAUGGACUCAAUAUGGAUUUUGUUGAUCCUGCUCAGAUCACCAUGAAAGUAAUCCAAGGCUUGUACAGUGGGGUCACCACAGUGGAACUAGAUACUUUGGCUGCUGAAACAGCUGCAACCUUGACUACUAAG
rnacentral:sRNA from 1 species